UGGGGAAUAUUGCACAAUGGGGGGAACCCUGAUGCAGCGACGCCGCGUGAGUGAAGAAGUAUUUCGGUAUGUAAAGCUCUAUCAGCAGGGAAGAAAAUGACGGUACCUGACUAAGAAGCCCCGGCUAACUACGUGCCAGCAGCCGCGGUAAUACGUAGGGGGCAAGCGUUAUCCGGAUUUACUGGGUGUAAAGGGAGCGUAGACGGAAUAGCAAGUCAGAUGUGAAAGGCAGGGGCUUAACCCCUGGACUGCAUUUGAAACUGUCAUUCUGGAGUGCCGGAGAGGUAAGCGGAAUUCCUAGUGUAGCGGUGAAAUGCGUAGAUAUUAGGAGGAACACCAGUGGCGAAGGCGGCUUACUGGACGGUAACUGACGUUGAGGCUCGAAAGCGUGGGGAGCAAACAGG
rnacentral:rRNA from 1 species